rnacentral:lncRNA from 1 species
AAUCAUGAAUUAAACCCUUAUAAUAUUCACAAAUAGAAUUUUGUACAAAAAUAAGUUUUAGUUCCACUUGGGCAGAUAUCUUGGACUGGAAUCGCUAGGAUUGCCAUGUCUAUCCAUCCUUUUGCCAAUACCAUACUUCUUUGAUUAUUAUAACUCUAUAAUCAAUUAGUGAGCCCUCCAACUUUGUUCUUCUUUUUCAGAACUCUUUGACUAUUCUGGUUCUUUUCCCUUUCUAUAAAAAUUUUAGAUCAGGCUUGUUGAUUUCUACAUACCAAAAAAUUAAGCUGGAAGUUUUUAUUAGUGUUAUGUGGACUUCACACACCAGCUUGGAGAGUACUGAUAUCUUAACAGUAUUAUAUCUUUCAUCCAUGAACAUGAUAUAACUCUCUACCUCCAGUUCUUUUUUGAUUUCUUUCAUCAGAGUUGUAUAGUUUUCACUAUGAAGAUCUUAUAUGUGUUUUGUUAGAUUUAUUCCUAAGCAUUUCAUGUUUUGGGGGUGCCAUUUUAAACAUUAGGUUUUUAGGUUUAAAUUUCGGUUUCCAGUUGUUCAUUGAUAGUAUAAAAAAUGCAAUUGUUUUGAAUAUUAAAUUUAUAUCCUUUUAUUUUGUUAAAGCAGAGAUUAUUUUUUUAAGAUUCUUUGAAAUGUUCCACAUAGAUAAUCAAGUCAUCUAUGAAUAGAGCAAGUUUUUUUUACUUUCAAAUCUGAAUACCUUUUCUUUCUUAUUCUUGCCUUAUUACUCUAGCUAAAAUCUCCAAGCACAGUUUUGAAUACAAAUGGUGAGAAUGGAUUUCCUCCAUUUGUUCCUGAUCUUAAGGCGAGAGUAUUCAUUCUUUUACCAUUAAAGAUGUUCUUACCUGUGGAAUAGAUGCUUUUUUCAGGUUGAGGAAGUUUUCUUCUGUUUCUAGUUUGCUUUGAGUUUUUAUCAGUAAUGAAUGUUUAAUUUUAUCAAAUGCCUUUUCUGUAUUUAUUGAGAUGAUCAUAUAUAUUUUCUUCCUUAGUACUGAUAUAUUGAAUUUCAUUGGUUGAUUUCACACAUUAAACCAAUCUUAUUUAGAUUCCUGGGAGAAACACUGCUUGGACAUGAUAUGCUAAUUUUUAGAUGGCACAUUGGAUUAUAUUUUCUGAAAUUUUGUAUAUAUUAAAGCUUAUAUUCAUAGGAAUUAUAAUACUUUAUUAGAAUUAUUUACACACACAGUUCCCUCUGUUAAGUGAUAAGCUCCUCUAGGUAAGGUCUGGCAACUUCAUAUUUCCCUGUAACUGGUACAAUACCUUGGUGUUAGCAGCCUUUGUUAAUAGAUGAAUGAAUGCUGUCGCUGGUAGCCUUAUAAAUAUGCAUUUAUAUACCAUUGAUGUUAAAUCUGGAACUAGGAGUGAAAAGUAAGUUUGGAUUCUUUUUCUUCCAGGAAUGGUAUGCUAUUAUUACAUAGUGAUUUCUCCAAUAUUUUUCAAUAAGCAGUGGUUUGCUCAUUGUUUGCCAUUGUUCUGACAACAAUAUGGAACCUAUAUCUCUAACACUUUAUGGUUACCAUUUUCAUGUUCUUAUGAAACCAUUGAGGCAACAUUAUAUACAUUAAUAAUAUUUAUUUAAAAAUUUAACUGGAAUACAGUUGACUUACAAUGUUGUACUAGCUUCAGGUGGAGAACAAAGUUGAUAAUACUGUUUUAUGCCUUGUGUAUAUAGGGGGAAUAGAUUGUUUAUCAAAGUCCUCAAGAUUGGGUAUUUUACUCUUAGGUUGUAGAUGAGUGGGAACACAUAUUAUGUGUACGUCUCAUCUCAGUUGCUCCUAUUUUUAUGUGGUGCAAUUCACAAAAUGUCCUAAACCAGUGAGGUUGACUUUUCAUAUGGAGCUGUCAUUUAACUUAGAAUUUAUAGCUGGAUAGAUUUACACAGGAAGAGAGGUAGAGUGUAACAACAAGAAAAUGAGAGUUGAGGAAAGAAACUUUCGGUUAUCCCUCUGUGUGUUUCCUUCCAACUCCUCCCCCCAUCCCUAAAUCAGAAAACUCAUCUCCAGAUAUCUGGACUUGUGUUUAACCAAAUAAAUUAUACCAAAUUUUCUUCUAUCACAAAUCCUGAGAUACAAAGGAUUAAUCAGACUUUGACGGGCAAUUUAUACCAUACAAAAUCUUUCAGACUAGUAUUGGAUGGGAAGAAAACUUUCUUCUACCCUUCUAGGUUUUUCAGUUUGGUCUAAGAAUUAAAUUAUAUGAGAUAGAUUUUUUUUUUUUUUUUUUUUUGGUCUCUUUAGGCCCACACCCACGGCACAUGGAAGUUUCCAGGCUAGGGGUCCAGUUGGAACCAUAGCUGCCGGCCUAUGUCAGAGCCACAGCAAUAGCAGAUCCGAGCCCUGUGGUGUAGGUUGCAGAUGCGACUCAGAUCCCUUGUUGCUGUGGCUCUGGUGUAGGCCAGUGGCUACAGCUCCGAUUAGACCCCUAGCCUGGGAACCUCCGUAUGCCGUGAGAGCCACCCAAGAAAAGGCAAACAAACAAACAAACAAAAAACAAAAGAAAGAAAGAAAAAAAAGAUCAGCGUAAUUGAUAAAUACUUAGCCAAACUCAUCAAGAAAAAAAGAGGACUCAAAUCAAUAAAAUUAGAAAUGAAAAAGGAAGGAGUUCCCAUCAUGGCUCAGUGGAAAUGAAUCUGACUAGGAACCAUGAGGUUUCAGGUUUGAUCCCUGGCUUUGCUCAGAGGGUUAAGGAUCUGGCAUUGAGGUAUAGUGUAGAAUGCAGACAUGGCUCAGAUCUGGCAUUGCUGUGGCUGUCGUGUGAGCUGGCGGCUACAGCUCCAAUUAGACCCCUAGCCUGGGAACCUCCACAUGCCAUGGGUGCAGCCCUAAAAAGCAAAAAAAGAAAAAGAAAAAAAA